UACGUAGGGGGCAAGCGUUGUCCGGAUUUACUGGGCGUAAAGAGCGUGUAGGCGGCCAAGCAGGUCCGUUGUGAAAAUUGGAGGCUUAACCUCCAGACGUCGACGGAAACCGCGUGGCUAGAGUCCGGAAGAGGAGAGUGGAAUUCCUGGUGUAGCGGUGAAAUGCGCAGAUAUCAGGAAGAACACCAAUGGCGAAGGCAGCUCUCUGGGACGGUACUGACGCUGAGACGCGAAAGCGUGGGGAGCGAACAGG
rnacentral:rRNA from 1 species